rnacentral:rRNA from 1 species
CAGUCGCCACGGGAAUACGGAGGGAGCUAGCGUUGUUCGGAAUUACUGGGCGUAAAGCGCGCGUAGGUGGUUUGUUAAGUUGGAUGUGAAAUCCCCGGGCUCAACCUGGGAACUGCAUCCAAAACUGGCAGGCUAGAGUAGGGCAGAGGGUGGUGGAAUUUCCUGUGUAGCGGUGAAAUGCGUAGAUAUAGGAAGGAACACCAGUGGCGAAGGCGACCACCUGGACUGAUACUGACACUGAGGUGCGAAAGCGUGGGGAGCAAACAGGAUUAGAUACCCGAGUAGUCCCUGUCUCUUAUAC